rnacentral:tRNA from 1 species
UGUAUGGUAGUGUAAUGGCAACACGACGGUCUCCAAAACCGCAGAUAAGAGUUCAAUUCCCUUCCGAUCUG